rnacentral:siRNA from 1 species
GGGUGUGGGCUAAAAGUUCGG